rnacentral:piRNA from 2 species
GCCUGGGUAGCUCAGUCGGUAGAGCAUCAG